UGCAGUCGAGCGGACCUCUUCGGAGGUUAGCGGCGGACGGGUGAGUAACACGUGGGCAACCUGCCUGUAAGACUGGGAUAACUCCGGGAAACCGGAGCUAAUACCGGAUAGUAUCUUGAACCGCAUGGUUCAAGCUGGAAAGACGGUUUCGGCUGUCACUUACAGAUGGGCCCGCGGCGCAUUAGCUAGUUGGUGAGGUAAUGGCUCACCAAGGCAACGAUGCGUAGCCGACCUGAGAGGGUGAUCGGCCACACUGGGACUGAGACACGGCCCAGACUCCUACGGGAGGCAGCAGUAGGGAAUCUUCCGCAAUGGACGAAAGUCUGACGGAGCAACGCCGCGUGAGUGAUGAAGGUUUUCGGAUCGUAAAACUCUGUUGUUAGGGAAGAACAAGUGCGAGAGUAACUGCUCGCACCUUGACGGUACCUAACCAGAAAGCCACGGCUAACUACGUGCCAGCAGCCGCGGUAAUACGUAGGUGGCAAGCGUUGUCCGGAAUUAUUGGGCGUAAAGCGCGCGCAGGCGGUUUCUUAAGUCUGAUGUGAAAGCCCCCGGCUCAACCGGGGAGGGUCAUUGGAAACUGGGAAACUUGAGUGCAGAAGAGGAGAGUGGAAUUCCACGUGUAGCGGUGAAAUGCGUAGAGAUGUGGAGGAACACCAGUGGCGAAGGCGACUCUCUGGUCUGUAACUGACGCUGAGGCGCGAAAGCGUGGGGGAG
rnacentral:rRNA from 2 species